rnacentral:pre_miRNA from 1 species
GAAAUACUCCCUCCGUCUGAAAAUACUUAUCAUUAAAAUGGACAAAAAGAAAUGUAUCUAAAAUUAAAAUACGUCUAGAUACAUCUCCUUUUAUCCAUUUUGAUGACAAGUAUUUUCAGACGGAGGGAGUACAAG